rnacentral:rRNA from 1 species
UACGUAGGGUGCGAGCGUUGUCCGGAAUUAUUGGGCGUAAAGAGCUUGUAGGCGGUUUGUCGCGUCUGCUGUGAAAUCUCAAGGCUCAACCUUGAGCUUGCAGUGGGUACGGGCAGACUAGAGUGUGGUAGGGGAGACUGGAAUUCCUGGUGUAGCGGUGAAAUGCGCAGAUAUCAGGAGGAACACCGGUGGCGAAGGCGGGUCUCUGGGCCGAUAUUGACGCUGAGGAGCGAAAGCGUGGGGAGCGAACAGG